rnacentral:rRNA from 1 species
CCUACGGGUGGCAGCAGUGAGGAAUAUUGGUCAAUGGCCGGGAGGCUGAACCAGCCAAGUCGCGUGAGGGAAGACGGCCCUACGGGUUGUAAACCUCUUUUGUCAGGGAGUAAGGCGAACGUCGGGUGGUGCUGUGAGAGUACCCGAAGAAAAAGCAUCGGCUAACUCCGUGCCAGCAGCCGCGGUAAUACGGAGGAUGCGAGCGUUAUCCGGAUUUAUUGGGUGUAAAGGGUGCGCAGGCGGAGGUACAAGUCAGCGGUCAAAUUGCGGGGCUCAACCCCGGACUGCCGUUGAAACUGUGUCCCUUGAGUGCGCGAGAAGUAUGCGGAAUGCGUGGUGUAGCGGGGAAAUGCAUAGAUAUCACGCAGAACUCCGAUUGCGAAGGCAGCAUACCGGCGCGCAACUGACGCUCAUGCACGAAAGCGUGGGUAUCGAACAGGAUUAGAUACCCGUGUAGUC